UUGAACUCGAUGAUCUCAGAAGUCUUUUCCAACCUAAUUGAUUCUUUGAUUCUAUGAUUCUAAGCAUGUCCUGUAAUCUAUCUAUACUCUUCGAGGUCUAAACCUUUCUCAUCUUGAUUUUAAGCAUCAGCACUUCAAUUAUGAGGACAUCAAGAACAGAAAGAACAAAGCAAUGGGAAGCUGGACUUCAUUUGGUGUGCCUUUACCAGCGUUUUGUUCUGCCUCAGGAGAUGUUUCUAAGCAACUCUCCCUAUGGUUCUAAAUUGCCACACUUCAGUAUCAGAGUGCCUCUGGAGUGUGUGGAACCAAAUGUGGAUGGAUGUGCUCCAGCUGCAAACGUACAUCCAGACUAAGACUACUUCAAAGUAAACCUCCACAAUAGGGACAAUGUGGGCACUGGGUUCCAUUGCCAACAGCUGGAGAUCCACUGCUACAGCACACUGCAACACAUUAAUGCAAAGACAACCCUGCCGACCAGAUUUAAGUCCCAGACUAAAAUUAGGCAGAUUUUACUAAAUUUAGCUGAGCACAGAUAUUCUUAGGAGUUCCUAAAAUGCAGACAUGAUUCAUUUGUACAUUCUCCUGUAAUUUACCAGAUGACUUCGAGUUAGUGAAAAGGAAUUAGAAAGUAGAAAGUGGUUGAACCACAGGGCAGACUACUUUCAUUGUCUCAUUGGUGUGAAGCGAAAGAGCAAUACAAAUGACUGAAAGAAAUGGAACACUGAAAGUUUAUUUUCCACAAGUUGUUAACAGCAAUGGUUAAAAAUGAACAGCAGUAUCAGCCUGAUGCAAGUCACUUAACUAUUGUGAUGUAGAAUAAGCCUAUUUUUUUUUAUGAUUUACAAUAUUUUUUUUAACUGGUAGCUUUUUUCCAUUUAUUGGCUUUUAGGUCCAUACAUAUUGUCAUUUGUAUGUACAUCCAUAAAGAACAAAAUAAAACCAGCUGAGUAGGACUUAA